rnacentral:rRNA from 1 species
AGUGAACGCUGGCGGCAGGCCUAACACAUGCAAGUCGAGCGGCAGCGGGUCCUUCGGGAUGCCGGCGAGCGGCGGACGGGUGAGGAAUGCGUCGGAAUCUGCCUUUUUGUGGGGGAUAACGUAGGGAAACUUACGCUAAUACCGCAUACGACCGACGGGUGAAAGUGGGGGACCGCAAGGCCUCACGGAGAAAGAUGAGCCGACGCCGGAUUAGCCAGUUGGCGGGGUAAAGGCCCACCAAGGCGACGAUCCGUAGCUGGUCUGAGAGGAUGAUCAGCCACACUGGAACUGAGACACGGUCCAGACUCCUACGGGAGGCAGCAGUGGGGAAUAUUGGACAAUGGGCGCAAGCCUGAUCCAGCCAUGCCGCGUGUGUGAAGAAGGCCUUCGGGUUGUAAAGCACUUUUGUCCGGAAAGAAAUCCAAUCGAUUAAUACUCGGUUGGGAUGACGGUACCGGAAGAAUAAGCACCGGCUAACUUCGUGCCAGCAGCCGCCGUAACAC